AUUCCUUAUUUAAUCAUUUCAGAUCAGGAAGACCUUGUUCCCGAGCCAGUUCUGCAAGAGGACGACGAAGGGGACGCCUAAAGACUCCAUAGCCAUAUUUGUAGCUUUUACUUUCAAGUUUCUCCUUUAGGUAGUUUAAUCUUUUAUAUUGUGAGCACGUUUUUUGUUUUAGUGUAAGGGAUGUUAAUCGAAUUUUUGACUUCGCUUCCGCAUUUGAUAUUUUUAAUAUACAUUCCAUUAUGAAUUUCCGGGGCUGUUACAGUUGGUAUCAGAGCCGCAUUUCCUCGAACCCAUCCCUUACACAAUAGUGCCUUAGAGAGAUACUCAUCGAUAUAUCGUUACUCAAUCAUUCCUUGUGAAUGCAGGUACACGGGAAUGAGGAGAGGAAGGCCCCCACUAAACCGAGCGGCCCCAGAUAAUUCACUUCGGGAGGAUUUAGAUAGACUAUUCGAGAUGGUGGAGGCUCUCGCAGCUGCCCAGCGAAGGCAAGAGGAGAGAAGGGAGUUACCGGGACCUCCUCCGCUAGCACAGGUUGAGCCCCCGCUACAGCAGGCUGAUCCCGGGCCACCCUGCCUGCACCAGUUACUUGGGAGCAGUUCCUAGCGGCCUGCCAUGCGGAGUAUCUCCCUAAACACAUCCAACAUCUAAAGGAAAUGGAAUUUGCUCAAUUGGAGCUGGGCCGACAUGCCCCGGAGACAUUGUUGGAUGAGGGCUGGAAGGCCAGGAAAUUCCAGUGGGGUCUCCGCCCGGAGAUCAGACAGCACUUACUGGUGAUGGAGCUCGAGACAUAUUCGGCAGUCCUGGCAAAGACGCAGAUCAUAGAAAGGAGUUUCGACACCCGCCCUCAGCUAACGGGAAGUUUUCGACCCUCAGCCCCACUCCGCAGGCCAGCGCCUACCAUGCCUGUCCAACCCAGUAAAAGGCCCAGACCCGCCGUCCAGGCCCCUCCUCAGGCUACGGGGGCAGCACGUGGGAAGAUCUGCCAGUACUGCGGCAGGGAUCAUGGGGACCGACCCUGCUACCGCCUCAACAACACCUGUCGCAUAUGCGGCAGUGCCCAGCAUUAUGCAAGGGAGUGCCCUAGGAACCAGAAUCAAGGGAGGCCUCCAAUCUAGGACAGAGUUUACAACCUUACCCAGAAGGAUACUGACGCAGACUCGGACGUGGUACAUGGUAUGUAUACUAUCUCUGGCCACAUUGCUCAUGUUUUGUUUGAUACUGGUGCAUCACAUUCUUUUAUUUCACAUGUUCUUGCUUCUAAAAUUUGUGUAUCACCUGAUAGACUUGAUUCAUUAUUGCUUGUAUCUACCGCUUGGGGGGAGACAUUGCUAGGAGAGGUUGUCUACAGGGCAUGUGCCGUGGAGAUAGCAGAUAGGAAAUUGAGGGUAGACCUGAUAGGUUUAGACACAGGGGAUUUUGAUGAAAUCCUAGGAAUGGAUUGGCUAGCGGCGUAUCACGCCACCAUAGACUGCUUUAACAAAAAGAUUGUAUUUAAUCCUCCCAAGGAGGAGCUAUUUACAAGUUAAUAAAAUUAUUCGGUACUGAUUUCCCCUAAUGGCAAAUUCUUUUCUUCUUAAUUCCCAGUGCCUUAAUCUUAUAUUUUCUCUAACUAGGUAAACCCAAAAAAGAAGUUUGUAUCCAAGAGAUUCCAGUAGUCCGAGACUUUCCAGACGUAUUUCUGGAUGAACUGCCCGGUCUACCAGGGGACAGAGAGGUCGAGUUCACCAUAGACUUACAGCCAGGAACCCAGCCCAUCUCGGUAGCUCCUUACCGAAUGAGCCGCAUCGAGAUGGAACAACUAAGGAAACAGAUCACUGAGCUACAAAAUAGUGGCUUCAUUAGACACAGUGUUUCCCCAUGGGGUGCCGGGGUUACUUUUGCAAAGAAAGGAGAUGGAACGUUGAGACUGUGCAUUGAUUACAGAAGGAUAAACAAGGUAACAAUUAAGAACAAAUACCCUCUUCCCCGGAUUGAUGACUUUUUCGAUCAGUUGCAGGGUGCACAGGUCUUUUCUAAAAUAGAUCUACGAUCAGGUUACCAUCAGGUAAAAGUGAGAGCAGAAGACAUCCCCAAGACGGCUUUCCGAACCAGGUACGGACACUAUGAGUUCCUGGUUAUGCCGUUUGGGCUAACCAACGCCCCGGCCAUCUUUAUGGAUCUAAUGAACAAGAUCUUCAGAGAAUUCUUGGACCAAUUUGUCAUCGUGUUCAUCGAUGAUAUCUUAGUCUACUCAAAAAGUAGGGAAGAACAUGCUCAUCAUCUUGCCCAAGUCCUACAGGUACUCAGGGAAAAGAAGUUGUAUGCGAAGUUGAGCAAGUGUGGAUUUUGGCUCGAGCAAACAGCCUUUCUAGGACAUGUUAUAUCGAAGGAAGGGGUGUCAGUGAACCCCGAAAAGGUUGAAGUGGUACUUGGUUGGGAAAGGCUGACAACAGUUAAGGAAAUUUGCAGUUUCCUAGGGAUGGCAGGUUAUUACCACCGGUUUGUCGAAGGGUUCUCUAGUCUAGCAGCUCCUCUAACCCGACUCACAAAGAAGAAUGCAAAUUUUGAAUGGAUUGAGAACUGCGAAAGGAGUUUUUCAGAGUUGAAGAAGCGACUGACUACUGCACCAGUGCUGGCUCUACCGAGUGGAUCAGGAGGGUACACAGUUUAUAGUGAUGCCUCCUAUCUGGGCCUAGGUUGUGCCCUAAUGCAGCAUGGAAAGGUUAUAGCAUAUGGGUCUAGACAGCUAAAGAAUCAUGAGAAGAACUAUCCUACCCAUGACUUGGAGUUUGCCGCAAUCAUACACGCCUUGAAAACCUGGCGCCAUUAUUUGUAUGGAGAGACCUUUCAGAUCUACACCGAUCAUAAGAGUUUGAAGCUCAUCUUCACUCAGAAGGAUCUCAACAUGCAUCAGAGAAGGUGGAUGGAACUCCUCAAGGACUAUGAUUGUGACAUCCUAUACCAUCCAGGUAAGGGCAACGUAGUGGCCGAUGCCCUCAGCAGGAAAAGUGCUGGCACCCUAGCCCAUAUGAUGGUUUCAGAGUGUAGAUCCAUUGGGGCUACACAGCAGGUUCGCCUGCGAGAUCUGAAGAGAGGCACAUGUUUGGGCCACCUAGCAGUCCAACCCGAGUUAAUCCAAAGAAUAAAGGAAGCCCAGUCAGUCGACCCCGCCCUAGUAACCCGCAAGAAGGAUGCAGAACAGGGAGUGAGCUCAGAAUUUCAGAUCUCUGCUGACGGAUUGAUUCGUUUCAAGGACAGAGUGUGUGUCCCAGACGACAGUGAGUUAAAAAGAGACAUCAUGACAGAGUCCCAUAGUUCAAGGUUCGCCAUACAUCCAGGAAGUACGAAAAUGUACCAAACUAUGCGACCUCGGUUCUGGUGGAAUGGGAUGAAGAGAGAUAUAGCCGACUUUGUAUCUAAGUGCUUGGUAUGUCAGCAGGUCAAAGCAGAACAUCAACGCCCGGGCGGGUUACUUUAGCCUUUACCGAUUCCAGAGUGGAAGUGGGAACACAUCACCAUGGACUUCGUAUCGGGACUACCCAAGGCACGAUCGGGACAUGAUGCUAUAUGGGUAAUUGUUGACCGACUCACUAAGUCUUCCCACUUCCUGGCCAUCAGAAUGACUGAUCCUUUGGACAAGUUAGCAAGAAUGUAUAUCUGGGAGGUAGUAAGACUGCAUAGAGUUCCAGUAACAGUAGUAUCCGACAGGGAUCCCAGAUUCACUUCUCGGUUUUGGAAUAGUUUCCAGCAAGCUAUGGGAACAAAGCUGUCUCUUAGUACUGCUUUCCACCCCCAAACCGAUGGACAAUCAGAGAGGACAAUUCGUAUACUGGAGGAUAUGCUCCGAGCUUGUGUCCUUGACUCCGGGGGCCAUUGGGACGACCACCUACCCCUGAUAGAGUUUGCUUACAACAACAGUUACCAAGCAAGCAUCGGCAUGGCCCCAUACGAGGCGCUAUACGGGCGUCCGUGCAGGUCAUCGAUCUGUUGGGAGGAAGUGGGCGAUAGAAGAUUGUUUGGCCCGGAUUUGGUAGAAGAAACCACGUCCAAGAUAGUUAAGAUCAAGAAGAACAUCCAGACAGCUCAGAGUAGGCAGAAGAGUUAUGCUGAUACCCGGAGGAGAGACCUGGCCUUUGAGAAAGGCGACCGGGUGUUUCUUAAAGUCACCCCCUUCAAGGGAAUUAGUAGGUUCGGCAGGAGGGGAAAAUUAAACCCCAGAUAUAUUGGACCCUUUGAAAUCUUAGACAAUAUUGGUACCACUGCCUACAAACUUGCACUGCCUCCUGAGCUCUCCCGGGUUCAUAAUGUGUUUCACGUAUCUAUGCUACGUAAGUACAAUCCGGACCCGUCUCAUGUCUUGGCUCAUGAACCGCUUCCACUCCGAGAGGACGUGUCUUAUGAAGAAGUACCGGUCGGUAUCAUGGACCGAGAGAGCAGAAUACUCCGCAACCGGGAAAUAUCAUUUGUAAAAGUCGUGUGGCAGAACCACACGCCCAGGGAGGCUACUUGGGAACUGGAAUCAGAAUUUAGGGCCCAAUAUCCCCAUCUGUUCGAUCAAGAGUAACGAGGCAAAUUUGGGGACCAAAUUUCUUUAAGGGGGGAGAGUUGUAGCGCCCGGGAAAUUGAAGGAAAAAAAAAAAAAAAAAAACGUGCGCACCACGUCAGCAGCCACGUCAGCAGACCCAGUCAGCAGUCUUGGCCACCGCGCCCCUCCUCGGUUUUUGCCUCCGAUGAGGCCCUUCCCGGCCUCCGUUUAAUGCAAUUUUUAUAUCACCGUGAUCACCAUUCUUUUCUCUACAGGUUGAUCGGAGCCGAAUCACCAAAACACGAACUUCACCGGAGAGCCACCGCACACGAGAGCACCGCCGCCGGUAAGCUUCGGUUUUCCGUAAAUUUUCGGUCCCCCGAGGGCCGUAGGGUUGUUUUAUCGCAGGAACCAAUGCGAGUGUGGCCGAAUUCGGCUGGAAACGGCUGAAAACGGCCAACCCGAGGCGAACCGCCGCCGCAAGCGGCGGCACCGUCGCCGGAGCACGGCGGAGCUGCCGUGCCGGAGUUGUGAUAUUGGCCGAAAGGGCCCCUGGGCCUAAUUUGGGAUUUUUUGGAAGACGUGCAGGUACCAGUAGUGCGUUUCAGUUCCCCAGGAAAAAUUCAGGAAAAAUUGGGGACAGCCUGUAGGCGCACUGUGAAGCCGUGUUUGGACCCCUAAACGUGUAAGGACCCCUCACCCUAUUUCCUAUCACGGUUUUAAAGUUCAAUAAAUGAUAAAACGGUAUUUCAUGAAUCAACGAAUGUGUGAAAUUGCUUAAGGUCGCUAAUGGAGCCCGAGUCUAGUGUGUUUGUCGGUUAACUGUUAUUUGGCCUGUUUUACAGUUUUAAAUGCAGCAUGAGGUUUGAUGUUUUCAUUUUAUAGUUUCGUGUGCAUAUUUUUACUGUUUUAUUGAUUAUGGAUUGGAUGACUGGGAUAUUGAUACUCUAUGUUGUCUGUUUGGCAUAAAUUAUCGUUUUGCUUGUUUGUAUGUGGAUUGAUAAUGCUGACUGAGGGAAAGAGAGAAUGAAAGAUUAUGUAAAUGAGUAAUUGUAUAAUGUGGUCAGCCUGACUAGAUAUCCUGGGAUAUGGUGGACGGACCGGGUCCGUAGGGAACCCUACCGGGAUUGUGGUCUCCCAUACCGGACGGAGUAUGGAGAUCUUAUGUGUUUUGGCGCCCAUACCGGACGGGGUAUGGGGACGGCCCGUUUCACCCUCAUACUGGACGGGGUAAUGAGGUUUAUAGUUUUGGCGCCCAUACCGGACGGGGUAUGGGGACGGCCCUGGAAUAUGAUUUCAAGUGCUAAGGGUUAACGGGUAGCAGGACCCCUAUGGAUCCCCAUGGAUACUAGUGGGCUGGUAAAAGAAGAAAAAUAUGUUGUGUAACGAUUGUAUUACGAAAGGCUUGAUAAGUAUUACGUUAUACAGUUUAUAUAUGAUUUCAUGAUGAUGAUGAUGUUAUUAUUUUCGUAUAUUGAUUUAUGAAUUUCACCGAGGUAAGUGAAUGGUAAAGGUUUUAUUAUUGAUAAAAGGUUUGUUGUAAAUUAUGCUCCAUUGGUCUUUUUGUGUUUUCUACCCAUCUUUACCUCCGUGACGGUGAGAUAUCGUGAUGUCUUUACUGGACUAGUGUAGUUCAUUCCUUAUUUAAUUAUUUCAGAUCAGGAAGACCUUGUUCCCGAGCCAGUUCCGCAGGAGGACGACGAAGGGGACGCCUAAAGACUCCAUAGCCAUAUUUGUAGCUUUUACUUUCAAGUUUCUCCUUUAGGUAGUUUGAUCUUUUAUAUUGUGAGCACGUUUUUGGUUUUAGUGUAAGGGAUGUUAAUCGAAUUUUUGACUUCGCUUCCGCAUUUGAUAUUUUUAAUAUACAUUCCAUUAUGAAUUUCCGGGACUGUUACAGCAGCGGCGCCGCUGAGCUUCGGCGGCAUUUUUUGGCCAAUUUGCUGGUGCUUUCACUCUGAUUUGGCCAUAGGUGGGUUUAGAAUCAAAUUCUGAGCAAAUGGUAGAAUUUU
rnacentral:lncRNA from 1 species